CGCGGCCUAUCAGCUUGUUGGUGAGGUAAUGGCUCACCAAGGCGUCGACGGGUAGCCGGCCUGAGAGGGUGACCGGCCACACUGGGACUGAGACACGGCCCAGACUCCUACGGGAGGCAGCAGUGGGGAAUAUUGCACAAUGGGCGGAAGCCUGAUGCAGUAACGCCGCGUGAGGGAUGACGGCCUUCGGGUUGUAAACCUCUUUUAGCAGGGAAGAAGCGAAAGUGACGGUACCUGCAGAAAAAGCGCCGGCUAACUACGUGCCAGCAGCCGCGGUAAUACGUAGGGCGCAAGCGUUAUCCGGAAUUAUUGGGCGUAAAGAGCUCGUAGGCGGUUUGUCGCGUCUGCUGUGAAAUCCCGAGGCUCAACCUCGGGCCUGCAGUGGGUACGGGCAGACUAGAGUGCGGUAGGGGAGAUUGGAAUUCCUGGUGUAGCGGUGGAAUGCGCAGAUAUCAGGAGGAACACCGAUGGCGAAGGCAGAUCUCUGGGCCGUAACUGACGCUGAGGAGCGAAAGGGUGGGGAGCAAACAGGCUUAGAUACCCUGGUAGUCCACCCCGUAAACGUUGGGAACUAGUUGUGGGGUCCAUUCCACGGAUUCCGUGACGCAGCUAACGCAUUAAGUUCCCCGCCUGGGGAGUACGG
rnacentral:rRNA from 1 species